UCCAAGGUAUGAUAAAUACAACUGAUUGUGCAAAGUAAGAAUACAAAACACUAACCUUCAUGCCUUAUCAACAAAAUUCUAUCUCUGAUGUCUUUCAUAUAUUUCCUUUUUUUAUACUGUUUUCAGUCCAAUGUCUAAAGAAUAGUCUAUAAAUGCUACUGGUUUCAACUUCCCUUAUAUAUUUCAUUCAUACUUAAGGUUAAAUUAUUUACAAACUCCUCGCUUUUAUUAUUGUUAUUUUUCUGUGGUCAUAUCCAGUUUUCUCCAACAUAUAAAAUUUCACAUUAUGUUUCUCAAUGUAAGAUCAAAUUUAAUGAAGAAAUCAAAAAUGCUACAGGAUCCAUUGUUGCAACACUAUUUGAAGAAAAGGCAGAGGAGCUUUACAAAAUUACUGCAGCAAAAUUGGUUGACAAUACAAACGAUGGUAAUCUAUCAAUGGAUUUGAUUCAAAAGCUAUCCUCUCCAAAAACAUGUGUUGUCAUCUUGAAAACCUAUAUAUACAGUUAUGGGGGAAUCAACCAAUGUGUACAAGCACCCAAGCAAGCACGACUCCAGAUUCUAGAACCAAACACCCUAAAGAAGCAUGACCAAAACAAUUUUUGCAACAACCUCAGCAGCAAUUGAGAGUGACAUGGAAGAAGAUGAACAAGCACAGGAAAGCAUAGAUCUAUCAAUCAAUCCUUUUGUCAGAUCCCAAAAGAAUAGACAUUGUAACAAAAUCUUUUGGUGUGCAUGAUUUGCAACAGUGUCUAUUGUUCUCACUUCAAGCUCUUUUAACUAUUAAAGCAAAUCUUUUGGUUAGCAUGAUUUGCUUUGGAACUCCUACCCUUAUGUAACUAACUCCACUAUGACUUGUAAGUGUAUGGAAAUAUAUGCAGACUGCUUUCAAACCAUAUCCCAUUAUAAGCUGCUUAAAUUUACAAAUUCUACUAUCCUAAAAAGACAACAGGCAUGAAACACCUCGUGCUAGCAUCGGCUGAUCACCUAGGAACUAUAUAAAAGAGUACAACAAUCCAUAUACACGAAGUAAAAAAAAUCACAAAUAAAAAUUAGAUCUUUACAUGAAUUAACUCAGUACGUAACCAGAGUCAAGGGUUUGGGUCAAAAUUAGGGCUUCUUACUUGCACAAUCAGUGAUUCUGAAAAAGACCCAAAAACAGAUGAAAUCUGUUGCUACAAGCAGAGGCUCAAAGAUCGAUCUUCAUCUCUUUCGCAACUUCGAGAUACAGAGGCUUCUUACUUGCAGCUUCGAGAGAUCUACGGAGAGAGAGAGAGAGAGCAGAAGAGAGACGCGAUCUGGUCUCGGAUGGCCGUUCGUGCGGAAGGCGAAGAGGACGUCGGGGUGGCGUAGGACGGCGGAUUGGACGAUGGAGAGGAGCUGGUCGUGGGUGAAGGAGGAGAGGAGAGAGCGGGCAUCAUCGAGGGUGAGUUAGGGGGGCGGCGGCGAGGAGGUCGGGUUGUUGGCCGCCGUUGUUGUCGUCCAUGGCUGGGUCUGUGGAAGGAAUUACGGCUUGGAUUGAAGCGGCAGAGGAGAGAAAAAAUCUGGCCCUUUAUUAAAACCCAGUUAAACCAUAAAUUGUCCGAAAUCGAGGGGUAAAAUUGUAAAGGAGAAUCUGGCAUGCCCUGGGCAAUUGGUAAAAUGGGUGAAAUUAAAGGGUAAAAUCGUCCCAAAUUGAAAAUUGGCAACCGAAAGACUCCU